AUUGAACGCUGGCGGCAUGCUUUACACAUGCAAGUCGAACGGUAACAGGCCGCAAGGUGCUGACGAGUGGCGAACGGGUGAGUAAUGCAUCGGAACGCGCCCAGUCGUGGGGGAUAACGCAGCGAAAGCUGCGCUAAUACCGCAUACGAUCUGUGGAUGAAAGCGGGGGACCGUAAGGCCUCGCGCGAUUGGAGCGGCCGAUGUCAGAUUAGGUAGUUGGUGGGGUAAAGGCUCACCAAGCCAACGAUCUGUAGCUGGUCUGAGAGGACGACCAGCCACACUGGGACUGAGACACGGCCCAGACUCCUACGGGAGGCAGCAGUGGGGAAUUUUGGACAAUGGGCGCAAGCCUGAUCCAGCAAUGCCGCGUGCAGGAAGAAGGCCUUCGGGUUGUAAACUGCUUUUGUACGGAACGAAAAGGCUCUGGUUAAUACCUGGGGCUCAUGACGGUACCGUAAGAAUAAGCACCGGCUAACUACGUGCCAGCCGCCGCGGUAAAAC
rnacentral:rRNA from 1 species